CAACUCUCGUUACACAUCAUUACACAUGUACUGAAGAGCAUCCGAUCUCCACAAACAACAAGUUUCCAUUGCGCAGGUUUAGUGAACAUGACCACGGAAAUUGGCCUCAGCGAUACGCGCACUUCUUUCGAAGCAAGAAUCACAGCUCUAAUAGAGAGGAACAAUCGCCUGGAGAAGCGACUCGCCCAGGACAGGGAGCUGAUCGUGCUCCUGUGUCUGGAGAACGAUGUCGGACAGCUGCUUGAUCGGCUAGGGACAGGACAUCUAUCCUACGGUCUCCGGACAGGUCCACUCAUAGCUGAAUGCACGGAGUCUCCUGAAAAGCAUCAAGCACCAGUGUGCUAUGCUUUGCAUUCAACACCGAUGGAGAAGCAUCCUAAUGAAUCUACAGCUCCGCCUGGGCCGCCACUUCCCGUACAGGAGACAUCUGUGAAGCCAGGCUACGGCUAACAACCUAUAACACUCUCAGCAUACAUGUGCAUGUACAUUGUACAUUAUCCUGGAGUGAAUGUUCAGUAUGGUACAUUGUACAUUAUCCUGGAGUGAAUGUUCAGCAUGGUAUAUUGUACAUUAUCCUGGAGUGAAUGUUCAGCAUGGUAUAUUGUACAUUAUCCUGGAGUGAAUGUUCAGUAUGGUACAUUGUACAUUAUCCUGGAGUGAAUGUUCAGCAUGGUAUAUUGUACAUUAUCCUGGAGUGAAUGUUCAGCAUGGUAUAUUGUACGAGUUACAUGUACAAUGUACAAGUACAAAGUCAUGUUCCUGUAUGUGUACAUGUAGGUUCGCAGCGGAACAUUUAAAAUCUUCAGUUUCUUUUCCCUUUGGCCCCUUUCCUUUAUUUGAAGACGAUUAUUAAGAUGUAUAUGUAGAUUAGUUUAGGUGUCCUUGCUGCAUCGCUAGAUUAGAGUUCACUUUAUCGCUCACAUAUCAAACGCACUGCAAGCCCCCUUCCCGCAAGCGCGUAAACACAGGCACACAUACACAUACACACACACACGCACACACACACACACAUACAUGUACACACAUCCGCCCAAGUAAAUGUACAUGUAUACGUUUGCGCACACAGGCAUGCACGUACCCAGUCACCAUUUUUGCCUGCAAAUUCUUGUGGAGUAAAUCUGGGUUAAAGAAACUCAAAAUAUAAAAUUACACAUGUUUCGGUACACUUAUCCUAAAUUAACAGUUUUUUAUCGUUCCAAUGUUCGGUUCGUUAAAGAAAUUGAAUUGCAAUGAUAAAACGUUCGUCAAUUUGUCUCCAAAUCGCUUAUACAUGCAGUCUAUGCC